GGUGUUAUGCCGAGAAACAGCAGUAGCUCAGAGAACAAGUGUCAUUACGUGGAAAAGGUAAAAUCCCUCUUAACGCUUCAUUUCUUCAAGUUAGCAGGGGGAUGCAUUUUUUGGCAUAGCAAAUUAUUAGCUUGCCAAUGUAUGCAGGCCUUAUAUAUUUUCCCCAAAUAUUAUCCAAUUGAUAUAAAACUUAUUCCAGCAGUUCAUAGAUCAAGUGUGAUUAUGUAGAAAAGGUCAUUUCACUCUUAACUCUUUAUUUCUCCAUGUUAGCAGGGGGAUGCAUUUACGGCAUCCCCCUGCUAUAAUUAGCCUGCCGAUAUCUGCAUGCCCUCUCUAUUUUCCUCAAAUAUUAUCCUAUUGAUGUAAAACUUAUGCCAGUAGUUCAUAGAACUACUCUGAUUAUGUAAAAAAGUUAAAAUCCCUCUUAACUCUAUUUCUCCAUGUUAGCAGGGGAUGCAUUUUUGGCAAUAUAGAUUUUAUUCCUGCCAAUAUCUGCAUGCCCUCUCUGUUUUCCUCAAAUAUUAUCUGAUUGAUAUGAAACUUAUUCCAGCAGUUCAUAGAACAAGUGUGAUUAUGUAGAAAAAGUAAUUUCACUCUUGACUCUUUAUUUCUCCAUGUUAGCAGGGGAUGCAUUUUACGGCAAAGCCUAUUAUUAGCCUGCCGAUAUCAGCAUGCCCUCUCUAUUUUCUUCAAAUAUUAUCCUAUUGAUAUAAAACUUAUACCAGCAGUUAAGGGAACAAAUGUGAUUAUAUAGAAAUGUUAUUUCUUUAUUAUCACUACUGCAAGGAUACUGAAAGAAAUAAAUCUGACAAUGCAACCUUGCUAAAUGUAAAGCAUGCGCAAACAAUUUUUAUUUUGGUUUAACAUAAAAAUUAAAUCACUUUUUUAAUUUCAACAAAAGAAUAUUCAUAACAAUAGGACAGUUUUCCUUAAUUCACUUGGAGAGUCCCAAAAAUAUGUGACAAAGUGCUUGGAAGCAACAAGGUGAGAAAAACAAGAACAAUUAUUGUUUAUUAUAAUAGAAAAUGGCAUAAUUGGAUAACUAGAAUGUUAAUUUAACAUUUUAUCCUCUCAACAAGGGCAUGAAAGUGUCAAGGUGGAAAUGUGAAACAGUACAACAUGCCAUCCAGCAAGAUGUGAUUUCAUGUGGUGUGUUUGCUCUUAAAGUAAGUGUUGUUUAAAUA